CUUCUCUGCAGGAUCUCGUUAAAACUGCAGAUUCUGGCUUAGUAGGUCUGGAGUGGACCUCAAAAUUCUGCAUUUCUAACAAAUUCCAGGUAUGGUUGUUGCUGUAGGCCCACGGGCCACGCUUCAAGUAGCAAAGACCUUGCUAUGGCAUCCUCGCUCCAUCUUUCUUUUUGAUUCUCCUUUCCCUCUCUCUUGCUUCUUCCUGCAGACAUUUCCCACAAAAUCACUGCUCCACAUCCUCAUCUCAUGGCCUUCUUCUGGGGAACCUGAUCUGAGGCACUCACAGAUCCUGGGAGCUCGUGUACCCUGCGGUGUGGAGAACUUGGAGGCUGUUGACAAAAUCCAGCUUUGUGGUUUCGUCCGAAGGUGGUUGGAGCAGGUCUGAACUGAUGGAGGGAGCAAGAAUCAAGAUGCAAUGCAGAUUCUGGACUCUGCUUCCUUAGGAACCAGAGAUGGGCCAGCGCUCGAGGGUGAAGGAUUUGUCCUGAAAUCUUCCAGAUCCAGGAAAAACUGGCCACCUUCUCCUGCAACUCCACUUCUGGCCUCUAGAGGGGGCCGCCGGGAGCCAAAGCACAGCAGAGCUCAGCAAGAUGAACUCCCUCUGUGCCCGCCCCCGAGGGAAUGUCCCUGCUGGCAUUUGGAAAGCAGCUGGUUAACAGCGCGAGCGCGGCCUCCCCACCCUCACAAACUUCUCCACGACACAUUGCACCAUAAUUCUCCCUAA
rnacentral:lncRNA from 1 species